CUCAUUUCGAGAAUAUUAGAAAAAUAGAGAAAAGCAUAAAGAAAAGAAGAAACCUUCUCCAGUCUCCCACUGCGCUGAGUCAAACGAGGCUUUGGGGGAAGUAGCCCUUUGAAUGAGGAAGGCCUCUGACAUGUCAGUUUUGGCAUUUGGAACAACUUUUCUAGAAGGAACUUGCUAUGUGAGCUAGCUGCAAACACUCGGGAAAACCUUUUCACCAGCAGGUUAUAAGGAUCCCAUCCAGGACGCCACAUUACAUUUUGUCCCCAGGCCUCCUUAGGAUCCUCCCUACUGUGGCAGUUUCUCUGACUUCCUUGUUGUCGAUGGCUGUGAUGGUUCUGAGCAGUGCCGGUCAAGUGUUGGGGGAAGUAUCCGAUGAUUUUUCUCACAAUUAGACUAAAGCUCAACCCUCGCUUUUGAUGGUGACAGGGAGCUCUUGCAAGGCAGGUGUAAAGCCAACAGGGACAUCUUCGUUGCUUCCACCAUUAUUUGGCAGAAUUCUAUACUAGGUCAAAUUUUUCUCUUACAUCUUUGCUUCUUUUCAGAAGGAAAAGGAGACUCCUGUUUUGUGGUUGUGCUGAGUCAUGUGGUUCCAAUGAAAAGGAGUCAUCUUAACCCAGGCUCCCUGCUGGUGAGGGGGCCUAUGCUGGGCCCCAUAUUUCAGGGUCACAGAUUGUUUUUGGGUCCUUCAGCCCUCCUGCCUGGCCUUGUUAGUCACUUUUAAGACGGGGACCCUGAAGCCCAGGUCCCGUGCAUGGCCGGCUGCUUCCCAGCUCCCAGUGCUAGGCUCUGUCUCUGCAACUAUCCGUCUCUGCUCUCUCUGUGGAGGCCUCUCCUCAGCCCUGAUCACGCACAUCUGCAGAAGCUUCCUCUGGUGCUAUCCUUGUAGGUGGACCCCCAUCCCAGGCAAUAGACCACACCAUCGGAUGGAUCCUUCCAGGCCAGCCUGGGGACACAUUCAUUUGAUCUUCCCAGGGAGGACUCCAGUCCUAAAGGUGUUUACACACCAGAGAAGUGCUUGAGAUGCGGUCUUGAGAUGAUAAAAAUACACACAACCUUUUAAAACCAUGGCAACACAAGAGGCAGGAAUGCUGCCAAUUAAAAAGCAUUUAAAAUAUGGCUCCAGGCUGCAGGUUUGGAAAUAAAGUAGAUGAGGGAAACGGAUGGCAUAGAGUCCUGCCUUCAUGCUCGCCUGCACUGUGGCCCAGGUGAGAGCCCCAUCGAGCUCCAAGCCCAGCCCCCUAUAAAUAUCGCUCAUGAGUGAAGAAGGGGUUAGUAUAGGCACAGCCCCUACUUCCAAUCCCUCCUCUCCUUCGGUCUGGAUGGGCAGGGGGCUAACAGCUUCCCAACUGUUCUAGUACCAUGUUGAGUCACUGAUCUCAAUUCUCCACCUUUGGCUGUACCCACACCCUUAGCCGUGUGAUUUUGCAGAUCUCCCUACAGUUUUCAGAAGGGAACACUUCUCUGUCCUGAGACUUUGGGCUUGGCCAGGGAUCUUAGCAGAGUGACGCAUACAGCGGUUUGAAAUGUGCUGGUAUGAUUGGGUGUGACCUCUUGUGCCUCUGCCAUUGCCAGGAGAAGAACAUGCCCCAGCUAGCUUGCUGGUUCCUGGAGGAUGAGAGACAUGUGGCACAGACCUGGACCCAGACGGCAGCCUGGAACCCAAGCCUGCUGAUGCCUGCCAACAUCAGCCGGAACGCCGCUGACCUGCAGUAUGUGACUAGAGGCUCAGGGGUCUGCUGCCGAGGCUUGCAGUCAUUUGGUACCAGCAAUAGCUGGUAGAUAAACAAGUCCCCCUCCUGCGCCUCUUGGACACCUAACACAGGAGGAAGAUUUCUGGGAAGAGGAGGCAUCAUGGGAAACCCUGUCCCAGGAGACCAUUCCUUCCUCAUAGAGAGAGAGACAACAAGCAGGGGGAGCAGCAGGCAGAGGCAGAGGGA